rnacentral:rRNA from 1 species
UACGAAGGGGGCUAGCGUUGCUCGGAAUCACUGGGCGUAAAGGGUGCGUAGGCGGGUCUUUAAGUCAGGGGUGAAAUCCUGGAGCUCAACUCCAGAACUGCCUUUGAUACUGAAGAUCUUGAGUUCGGGAGAGGUGAGUGGAACUGCGAGUGUAGAGGUGAAAUUCGUAGAUAUUCGCAAGAGCACCAGUGGCGAAGGCGGCUCACUGGCCCGAUACUGACGCUGAGGUGCGAAAGCGUGGGGAGCAAACAGG